rnacentral:rRNA from 1 species
GAUGAACGCUGGCGGCGUGCCUAAUACAUGCAAGUCGAGCGAACAGACGAGGAGCUUGCUCCUCUGACGUUAGCGGCGGACGGGUGAGUAACACGUGGAUAACCUACCUAUAAGACUGGGAUAACUUCGGGAAACCGGAGCUAAUACCGGAUAAUAUAUUGAACCGCAUGGUUCAAUAGUGAAAGACGGUUUUGCUGUCACUUAUAGAUGGAUCCCCGCCGCAUUAGCUAGUUGGUAAGGUAACGGCUUACCAAGGCAACGAUGCGUAGCCGACUUGAGAGGGUGAUCGGCCACACUGGAACUGAAACACGGUCCAGAGUCCUACGGGAGGCAGCAGUAGGGAAUCUUCCGCAAUGGGCGAAAGCCUGACGGAGCAACGCGGCGUGAGUGAUGAAGAUCUUCGGAUCGUAAAACUCUGUUAUUAGGGAAGAACAAAUGUGUAAGUAACUAUGCACGUCUUGACGGUACCUAAUCAGAAAGCCACGGCUAACUACGUG